rnacentral:rRNA from 1 species
UGGGGAAUAUUGCGCAAUGGGCGGAAGCCUGACGCAGCGACGCCGCGUGGGGGAUGACGGCCUUCGGGUUGUAAACCUCUUUCAGCAGGGACGAAGCGAGAGUGACGGUACCUGCAGAAGAAGCACCGGCCAACUACGUGCCAGCAGCCGCGGUAAUACGUAGGGUGCAAGCGUUGUCCGGAAUUAUUGGGCGUAAAGAGCUCGUAGGCGGUUUGUUGCGUCGGCUGUGAAAUCCCGAGGCUCAACCUCGGGUCUGCAGUCGAUACGAGCAAACUAGAGUGUUGCAGGGGAGACUGGAAUUCCUGGUGUAGCGGUGAAAUGCGCAGAUAUCAGGAGGAACACCGGUGGCGAAGGCGGGUCUCUGGGCAACAACUGACGCUGAGGAGCGAAAGCGUGGGGAGCGAACA